AUGUCGUCUCCCGCUUUGGAGUUGGUGUGUUGGAACGUGCGGGGACUCAACAGUUCGGUCAAGAGGAAGGCUCUUUGGGAGUUUGCGGAUACGGCUCACCAUUCGUUUUUUUGUAUCUAAGAGACUAAACUCGCCUGUAUCGAUACUUUCACGGUGAUGCAAUGCCUGGGCCCAGCGUAUGAUGGGUUUUACUACUUACCAGCCUCUGACACUAGGGGAGGAGUCCUAUUAGCUUGGAAAUCGGAGUUGGUGAGCAUCACGAAUUGCGUGCGGGACAUGAACUUCAUUACUGGCUUCAUUUAG
rnacentral:rRNA from 1 species